GGUGAGUAAUGCCUGGGAAAUUGCCCUGAUGUGGGGGAUAACCAUUGGAAACGAUGGCUAAUACCGCAUAAUAUCUUCGGCUCAAAGAGGGGGACCUUCGGGCCUCUCGCGUCAGGAUAUGCCCAGGUGGGAUUAGCUAGUUGGUGAGGUAAGGGCUCACCAAGGCGACGAUCCCUAGCUGGUCUGAGAGGAUGAUCAGCCACACUGGAACUGAGACACGGUCCAAACUCCUACGGGAGGCAGCAGUGGGGAAUAUUGCACAAUGGGCGCAAGCCUGAUGCAGCCAUGCCGCGUGUGUGAAGAAGGCCUUCGGGUUGUAAAGCACUUUCAGUCGUGAGGAAGGUAGUGUGUUUAAUAGAUGCAUUAUUUGACGUUAGCGACAGAAGAAGCACCGGCUAACUCCGUGCCAGCAACCGCGGUAAUACGGAGGGUGCGAGCGUUAAUCGGAAUUACUGGGCGUAAAGCGCAUGCAGGUGGUGUGUUAAGUCAUAUGUGAAAGCCCGGGGCUCAACCUCGGAAUAGCAUUUGAAACUGGCAGACUAGAGUACUGUAGAGGGGGGUAGAAUUUCAGGUGUAGCGGUGAAAUGCGUAGAGAUCUGAAGGAAUACCGGUGGCGAAGGCGGCCCCCUGGACAGAUACUGACACUCAGAUGCGAAAGCGUGGGGAGCAAACAGGAUUAGAUACCCUGAUAGUCCACGCCGUAAACGAUGUCUACUUGGAGGUUGUGGCCUUGAGCCGUGGCUUUCGGAGCUAACGCGUUAAGUAGACCGCCUGGGGAGUACGGUCGCAAGAUAAAACUCAAUGAAUUGACGGGGGCCCGC
rnacentral:rRNA from 1 species